rnacentral:lncRNA from 1 species
GCCGACAGACCUUCCAGACGACGCGCACUGCUCUGGCGCGAUCUCGUAGCCAUUGUGUUGCACAAUGCGUU